CGUCACCAAAUCUCAUGGCUCCACGCUUCUUUUCAAGCCAGGCACAGCGGUAGAAAUUCCCAAUCUGGUCAUACUCUGAGAGCCCCAAUGAGAUUACCACGGGCUGUGCACCGCCGACCAACCCCACACAGCCAGAUGUGCAAGGUCCUACCCACAGACUAUGAUGGGAAGAGUCUUAAGACUCGACUCUGAUCCUGCUGCCACUGACGCCAGUAAAAAGCUCUCCACAGACAUGGAUGGGAGGAGGAGGUGAUUCCACGCCUGCGUUCAGCCUGGAGCACGGCCACACUGGGUGCUGGUAC